GAGUCAAUUAGGCAACACCUGAGGCACUUAAGGUGAGCCUGGGUGUGGAGCAAGGGGGUUCAGUAACUGAGAGAGGCUGUGAGGGGUAGACUGGACAGGAUGCAAACUUCCCUGAUCCUGGGACUCCAGAGAACGACUGCCUGGCGUGGGCAGUGUGGACUUUUGUUAUACCAUUCGUUGGAAAGGCAACAGUUUGACAUUCUAAAGAAUUUUACCUAAGCAAAGCGGAAGGAUGCUCACAGAUACCAUCAGUGGUUGGAUCCAUUCUCCUUAAAUCCAUCCUUUCCUGACAAAAUUUCUCUUAUCUCUGCACAGCAGACGACCUGUGGUCACCUUACAUCAAGCACAGGAACGCAUCUGGCACCUGAGCAGACACGGAACUAGCAAUCUCUCUUCCCAGCUGCCCUGCUCAGGUCCCCACAACAUCAAGAUUAAUUAAAUCAUGCAUCUAAUUGAAUGGCGUCACCACAGCUAAUGUAUUCAGCAGAGAGGUCUACAUUAAAUAAAAAUACAUGUGACAAAUGUUAUAAUUCCUUAAACUUUGCUUAGGGCUUGAUAACAAGGGAACUCAAACAGAAAGAAACUGAAGUUUAUUCUGAAUGGGACAAUUUUAUAUCUUCAAGCAAAAAUGUGUUUUCGUAUUAACACUUUUAUGAAGUUGAUACCAAUACUGUACAAUUCUGUGCCUUUUGAAAUAACAUCAGGUAUAUUAUAGAUAUUUUUAGAAGACAAAAAAUGAUCUGUAGUUUUGUAGUGUCAACAUUUAGUUCAUUAAAAAUGCAAAUCAAUAGGCAUUUGCCACAUGCAAAUAAACCAGCUAAUAUGACUUUUUUUUUAUA